rnacentral:rRNA from 1 species
GGGGAAUUUUCCGCAAUGGGCGAAAGCCUGACGGAGCAAUACCGCGUGAGGGAAGAAGGCUCUUGGGUUGUAAACCUCUUUUCUUAGGGAAGAAAAAAAUGACGGUACCUAAGGAAUAAGCGUCGGCUAACUCCGUGCCAGCAGCCGCGGUAAUACGGAGGAUGCAAGCGUUAUCCGGAAUGAUUGGGCGUAAAGCGUCCGCAGGUGGUUUAUCAAGUUUGCGGUUAAAGGUUCUGGCUCAACCAGAGACAGGCCGUGAAAACUGAUAGACUAGAGUAUGGUAGGGGCAGAGGGAAUUCCCAGUGUAGCGGUGAAAUGCGUAGAGAUUGGGAAGAACACCGGUGGCGAAAGCGCUCUGCUAGGCCAAAACUGACACUGAGGGACGAAAGCUAGGGGAGCGAAUGGGAUUAGAUACCCCAGUAGUCCUAGCCGUAAACGAUGGAUACUAGGUGUAGCUUGUAUCGACUCAAGCUGUGCCGUAGCUAACGCGUUAAGUAUCC